rnacentral:rRNA from 1 species
GGAAUAUUGGACAAUGGGCGAAAGCCUGAUCCAGCAAUGCCGCGUGAGUGAUGAAGGCCUUAGGGUUGUAAAGCUCUUUUACCCGGGAUGAUAAUGACAGUACAGGGAGAAUAAGCUCCGGCUAACUCCGUGCCCGCAGCCGCGGUAAUACGGAGGGAGCUAGCGUUGUUCGGAAUUACUGGGCGUAAAGCGCGCGUAGGCGGUUUUUCAAGUCAGAGGUGAAAGCCCGGGGCUCAACCCCGGAAUAGCCUUUGAAACUGGAAGACUUGAAUCUUGGAGAGGUCAGUGGAAUUCCGAGUGUAGAGGUGAAAUUCGUAGAUAGUCGGAAGAACACCAGUGGCGAAGGCGACUGACUGGACAAGUAUUGACGCUGAGGUGCGAAAGCGUGGGGAGCAAAC